AAACCUGACGGAGCAACGCCGCGUGAGGGAUGAAGGCCUCUGGGCUGUAAACCUCUUUUUCUCAAGGAAGAAGAACUGACGGUACUUGAGGAAUAAGCCACGGCUAAUUCCGUGCCAGCAGCCGCGGUAAUACGGGAGUGGCAAGCGUUAUCCGGAAUUAUUGGGCGUAAAGCGUCCGCAGGCGGCCUUGUAAGUCUGUCGUUAAAGCGUGGAGCUUAACUCCAUUUCAGCGAUGGAAACUACAAGGCUUGAGUGUGGUAGGGGCAGAGGGAAUUCCCGGUGUAGCGGUGAAAUGCGUAGAUAUCGGGAAGAACACCAGUGGCGAAGGCGCUCUGCUGGGCCAUAACUGACGCUCAUGGACGAAAGCCAGGGGAGCGAAAGGGAUUAGAUACCCCUGUAGUCCUGGCCGUAAACGAUGAACACUAGGUGUCGGGGGAAUCGACCCCCUCGGUGUCGUAGCCAACGCGUUAAGUGUUCCGCCUGGGGAGUACGCACGCAAGUGUGAAACUCAAAGGAAUUGACGGGGGCCCGCACAAGCGGUGGAGUAUGUGGUUUAAUUCGAUGCAACGCGAAGAACCUUACCAGGGUUUGACAUCCUGCGAACCUCUGAGAAAUCGGAGGGUGCCUUCGGGAACGCAGAGACAGGUGGUGCAUGGCUGUCGUCAGCUCGUGUCGUGAGAUGUUGGGUUAAGUCCCGCAACGAGCGCAACCCACGUCUUUAGUUGCCAGCAUUCAGUUGGGCACUCUAGAGAGACCGCCGGUGAUAAACCGGAGGAAGGUGUGGAUGACGUCAAGUCAUCAUGCCCCUUACAUCCUGGGCUACACACGUACUACAAUGCUACGGACAAAGGGCAGCAAGCUCGCGAGAGUAAGCAAAUCCCAUAAACCGUGGCUCAGUUCAGAUCGUAGGCUGCAACUCGCCUACGUGAAAGGAGGAAUCGCUAGUAAUCGCAGGUCAGCAUACUGC
rnacentral:rRNA from 1 species